UUGAGAGGGUAAGGCUCCCAGUAGACGACUGGGUUGAUAGGCCAGGUCUGGAAGCCCGGUAACGGGUGGAGGUGACUGGUACUAAUAGGCCGAGGGCUUGUCCUCAGUUG
rnacentral:rRNA from 1 species